AUCUUUGAACGCACCUUGCACCCUUUGGCAUUCCGAAGGGUAUGCUCGUUUGAGUGUCAUUGUACUCUCACACUCCCGAUGCUUUUUGGAUCGGGAGGGGUGGACUUGGGUGUUGCUGCUUUACUGUGGCUCGCCUCAAAUGGAGUAGUGCAACUCUUGGUUGGACAUAGUACGGCGUGAUAAGUGUCUUCGCCGGCGCCUCAUUAGAGGGUGGCCAAUUGGGAGCUCUGUGCUUCUAACCGUCUUCGGACAAUAUCUGACAACUUGACCUCAAAUCGAGUAGGACUACCCGCUGAACUUAAGCAUAUCAAUAAGCGGAGG
rnacentral:rRNA from 1 species